GGUCAGGGAUCAAGCAGAGGGGUAUGAUGCAGACCUGCAGAAGGAGGAGUUCUGUGACCAACGGGGCUUAAAUACACAACAGGCUGUCACGCUCUUCUUCUUCAUCCUGGCUCUGGUGAUCAUGCUCCAGACUGUGUGGGCCCACAUCAAGAGCCUUUCUUUUAUAUAGCAGAGAACAGCAGCAGGAUUCACACUUCAACCCGGUUGAUAAUACUAAGAUUGAGCCUUGGCCAGAGAACCCCACACCACAGGCAGGUGGUCCCUCCUCCCACUCCUCCCCCCUCCUCUCCUUCCUCCAAUGAGACCCCUCGUCUCAGCUUCUCUUCCUCCUGUCUCAACACUCUCUCUAAGAAGAAGAAAUGAAGAAGAGAUUGUCUGUACCACCGAGGGCCUGUCUGAAUCAUCAUGGCUACAGAGGGCCUGUCUGAUCCAUAAUGGCUACCGAGGGCCUGUCUGAUCCAUCAUGGCUACAGAGGGCCUGUCUGAUCCAUCAUGGCUACAGAGGGCCUGUCUGAUCCAUCAUGGCUACAGAGGGCCUGUCUGAUCCAUCAUGGCUACUGAGGGCCUGUCUGAUCCAUAAUGGCUACCGAGGGCCUGUCUGAUCCAUCAUGGCUACAGAGGGCCUGUCUGAUCCAUCAUGGUUGCUGAGGGCCUGUCUGAUCCAUCAUGGUUACAGAGGGCCUGUCUGAUCCAUCAUGGUUACAGAGGGCCUGUCUGAUCCAUCAUGGCUACAGAGGGCCUGUUUGAUCCAUCAUGGCUACAGAGGGCCUGUUUGAUCCAUCAUGGUUACAGAGGGCCUGUUUGAUCCAUCAUGGUUACAGAGGGCCUGUUUGAUCCAUCAUUGAGGGGACAGGCCAGACAGAGACAAGGCCAAGAUGGUUGAAAUGUCAAUGAUGUCAAAUUCUUCUCAUUAAAUUAUUUUUAACGUCAAGAGCCGAGAGCUGAACGUGUUUUCCCAGGCACACAGAGAAAAGCAUACUCAAUAUUCACCGACCAUUUUGCAGGUCUUAAAUCUGGUACGUACUGUAAGUUAUUGUGCUCAUGUACAGUAUGUGUUUGGGUAGAUACGAUUAAAUAUAUCUUAUUAUCAUGUGAUGCAUGAAGGGUCUAGCCAGUGUGUGUGUUAUCUGUUGGGAAAUUGUCUUUAGCAUAUCUAGUUUUGUUGUUCUGGCGUUGCAUCGAUGCAUGAUAAGUUGUCAUUUUCACUCUACUUGUUAAUCAUUACAUUACAUUUAAGUCAUUUAGCAGACGCUCUUAUCCCAUGUAUACAGAAAUGAUUCACAUGACUUUUUCCACAUUUUGUUGUGCUACAGCUUGAAUUUUAAAUGAUUAUA